GGAUGUGAGGGUCAUCCGGCUGUGAUAGAUGCUCCCUCACUGAUCACCGGCUAAGCGAGCGUCUCCUUCUUCCCUUACACUUUCACAAGUGCCUAUCCUGAAACUGAGCACCCAGGUGAAGAGGAUGACCCUCCCUGGACAGAGGAGCAGCCAGACUUCAACCAAGGGUACGUAAAUAGCUGUGCCCCCUACUAGGACAACCAGACCAGCUCUCAAGGUUAAAAUACACCCUAAACAGCCCUCUUUCCUAUCCUGACCUCUCAGCUGACAUUA
ensembl:misc_RNA 7SK 7SK RNA